GAUGAACGCUAGCGGCAGGCUUAACACAUGCAAGUCGAACGGUAACAUAUCUUGCUUGCAAGAUGAUGACGAGUGGCGAACGGGUGCGUAACGCGUAUGCAACCUACCUUAAACUGGGGGAUAGCCAGAAGAAAUUCUGAUUAAUACCCCAUAUUAUAUAUUCUUCGCAUGUUGAAUAUAUCAAAGCUUUGGCGGUUUAAGAUGGGCAUGCGUGACAUUAGCUAGUUGGUAAGGUAACGGCUUACCAAGGCAACGAUGUCUAGGGGGUCUGAGAGGAUUAUCCCCCACACUGGUACUGAGACACGGACCAGACUCCUACGGGAGGCAGCAGUGAGGAAUAUUGGACAAUGGGCGAAAGCCUGAUCCAGCCAUGCCGCGUGCAGGAAGAAUGCCCUACGGGUUGUAAACUGCUUUUAUAUAGGAAUAAACCCCUCUACGUGUAGAGGGCUGAAGGUACUAUACGAAUAAGGAUCGGCUAACUCCG
rnacentral:rRNA from 1 species